UACAGAGGUAUCAAGCGUUGUUCGGAAUUACUGGGCGUAAAGGGCGCGUAGGCGGCCUUCUAAGUCGAACGUGAAAUCCCCGGGCUCAACCCGGGAACUGCGUCCGAUACUGGAAGGCUUGAAUCCGGGAGAGGGAUGCGGAAUUCCAGGUGUAGCGGUGAAAUGCGUAGAUAUCUGGAGGAACACCGGUGGCGAAGGCGGCAUCCUGGACCGGCAUUGACGCUGAGGCGCGAAAGCCAGGGGAGCAAACGGG
rnacentral:rRNA from 1 species